GAUGAACGCUAGCUACAGGCUUAACACAUGCAAGUCGAGGGGAAACGAUAUUGGAAGCUUGCUUCCGAUAGGCGUCGACCGGCGCACGGGUGAGUAACGCGUAUCCAACCUGCCCACCACUUGGGGAUAACCUUGCGAAAGUAAGACUAAUACCCGAUGAUAUCUCUAUAAGACAUCUGAAAGGGAUUAAAGAUUUAUCGGUGAUGGAUGGGGAUGCGUCUGAUUAGCUUGUUGGCGGGGUAACGGCCCACCAAGGCAACGAUCAGUAGGGGUUCUGAGAGGAAGGUCCCCCACAUUGGAACUGAGACACGGUCCAAACUCCUACGGGAGGCAGCAGUGAGGAUAUUGGUCAAUGGGCGAGAGCCUGAACCAGCCAAGUAGCGUGCAGGACGACGGCCCUAUGGGUUGUAAACUGCUUUUAUAUGGGGAUAAAGUGAGUUACGUGUAGCUUAUUGCAGGUACCGCAUGAAUAAGGACCGGCUAAUUCCGUGCCAGCAGCCG
rnacentral:rRNA from 1 species